UCCUUUUGAAUUUAUAUCAGAAUUGCAUAUGUGCAGUGCAUUUACUCAUAGCCUUCCUUAAUCAGAUUCACAAAGGCAGUAAGUGGUUCCUAGAGUAUGGUGUUUGGGCGAGCAGGUUACAUAUCAUCUGAGAACCUCUUAGAAUUGCAUUUUCUUUAGCCCAACAACUUACCUGUUAACUUUUUCAAGUGAUUCUGAAACAUGUAAAGUUUUACAGUAUUUGCUUAAAUGUCUGUCAGAAUGUGACUGGGAACUCCCUUAGUGGUAGUUAUAAAAUCCUUACCAAGCAGGAGUUAGCGACCCCUCACAGGCUAGGAAAUAGAGUAGAUAGAGUGAGAUGAAUGGAGAUGACUUAUUACAGUUGAGAUCAUUGGGAAAGGAUCUUAGUCUGAGGAGGAAACUGUUAGACAGGAGCUGACAAAAGGCUGACUUGAGACUGGGAGAGAAAGUAACUCCUUGCAGAAGGCAGCUGUGCACACAUGACAGUGCUUAGUAACUGGAAGGAUGGGCAUGAGCGGUUAGAAUUCAAGUGCUGUCUCUUUCAGGUUGGCCUCUACCAACCUUGAAAACAUCAUUGUCAGUAUUCAGAUUCUGGGGAAUUUCAGUUUCAUUUGUAUUUUGGAAGAGGGGAUCCAUGCAUGCAACUGGAUCUUUCCCAUCUAGGUACAGAAGCAUUUAGGCAACAGCUGAGUGUUUUGAGAAGCAUGGUCACAUAGUCAGAAACUACUGGCUGACUAAAUGCUGGGGAUGCCAAGAACAUGCUGUGCUUUGACCUGAAGACAGUGUUGCUUGCAGCCUUUAGCAGGACUUAUGGAAGAGUGGGGCUGUGGUAAGGAUGAGGGCGGAUGAACAGAGAAGGAAUCAGAUAGGCUGUGCGUACAGGAAACUCAACUCUCUUCUGGUUUUUUGAAGGAUGCCACAAGUCUAAUAUCUCAGUUUAUUAUUUAUAUUACACAAACAUACUUUAUUAAAUGCAGGACUAGAGUGCUUAUCUAUCUUGAAAGUUUUCCAACAGAAGACUUUGGCUUUUUUCCAAGUUGGCCUAUUUAUUUGUUGACAAAGCCUAGACAUAAAAGCAUAUCUAAUGUUUCUAAUAGGUAAGAAGAAGAUAGGCUGUGAAGUAGACUAUGCCACCCUUUGAUUAAUAAAUGACAUUUGAACCUCUAAGACUGGUCAGAGGAAACUUGAACAUAGUUAAGUCAUGAGUCAUUGAGGUCCAGAACUGCAACCCUUAAUGCAUUGUCAAAGAUCACAUUUCAUCUUCUAUUUUUAUUUUUUAUUUUACUAUAUUUGUUUGUUUUUCUUCAAGGCAGGGUUUUGCUCUGUAGCCCUGGCUAUUCUGGAAUUCACUCUGUAGACCAGGAUGACCUCAGACUCAGAGAUCUGACUGCCUCUGCCUCCCAAGUGCUUUAAUUAAAGGCAUGCGCCACCAUCACUUGGCCAUUGCAUUUCAUUUUUUUUAAAGCCAGGAUAUGGGCGCCCACCUAGUAAUUUAAACAAGUAACCAGUAAAGCAGAGAAUGUUGGCAUGUGUCCUGUUUUCUCUCUAGAAAUGAACUGUUUCCCAGGAAAAUAUCAACAAACAGAACUUGCAUAGCCCCUGCCACCUCCUGUUAUGGCCAUCAGACUUAUGGUUAGAGUAAAUGAGGUACCAACAGAACAGCACUGUUGUUCUUAAUGGCUAUUUCCCUUGGGUACCUUCAUUGGCAAUAUGUAGUCUUUUGAGUUUUUGCAUAGAAAUAAAUAGGUAGGUAGUCUGCAGUUUUAGUCUUUUUGUUACAGAAAGCCACUGCCGUUUCAUAGCCAUUAGAAUUGGGCACCAAAGUAAGGGAGCUGCAUCCAUCUCCACUCAGUACACUAACUGGCAUCCUAACGUCCUCUGUCUCCCUCUUAGAGUCUUCUGCAAAAAAAAAAAAAGAACCCAAGUU
rnacentral:lncRNA from 1 species